rnacentral:lncRNA from 1 species
GUUGUGGAUCUGGUCAGAAAGAGUGGGAAUUCAGUGACUUUACUAGUUCUGGAUGGGGAUUCCUAUGAGAAAGCAGUGAAAACACGGGUGGACUUGAAAGAGUUGGGUCAAAGUCAGAAGGAGCAAGGUUUGAGUGAUAAUAUACUUUCCCCUGUGAUGAAUGGAGGUGUGCAAACUUGGACCCAGCCCCGGCUCUGCUAUCUCGUGAAGGAGGGAGGCAGCCAUGGCUUCUCUC